rnacentral:rRNA from 1 species
UACGAAGGGGGCUAGCGUUGCUCGGAAUUACUGGGCGUAAAGGGAGCGUAGGCGGAUAGUUUAGUCAGAGGUGAAAGCCCAGGGCUCAACCUUGGAAUUGCCUUUGAUACUGGCUAUCUUGAGUAUGGGAGAGGUGUGUGGAACUCCGAGUGUAGAGGUGAAAUUCGUAGAUAUUCGGAAGAACACCAGUGGCGAAGGCGACUUACUGGACACAUAUUGACGCUGAGGUGCGAAAGCGUGGGGAGCAAACAGG